rnacentral:rRNA from 1 species
GAUGAACGCUGGCGGCGUGCCUAACACAUGCAAGUCGAGCGAAGCGCCUUACUUGAUUUCUUCGGGAUGAAAGUAUUGUGACUGAGCGGCGGACGGGUGAGUAACGCGUGGAUAACCUGCCUCAUACAGGGGGAUAACAGUUAGAAAUGACUGCUAAUACCGCAUAAGCCCACAGCUCCGCAUGGAGCAGGGGGAAAAGGAGUGAUCCGCUUUGAGAUGGCCUCGCGUCCGAUUAGCUAGUUGGUGAGGUAACGGCCCACCAAGGCGACGAUCGGUAGCCGGACUGAGAGGUUGAUCGGCCACAUUGGGACUGAGACACGGCCCAG